rnacentral:rRNA from 1 species
AAAUGACGCUCGAACAGGCAUGCCCGCCAGAAUACUGGCGGGCGCAAUGUGCGUUCAAAGAUUCGAUGAUUCACUGAAUUCUGCAAUUCACAUUACUUAUCGCAUUUCGCUGCGUUCUUCAUCGAUGCCAGAACCAAGAGAUCCGUUGUUGAAAGUU